GUCAAGCACUUUUAGCAUUAGGUAGCGAUUUUGUGGAACAAGCCCCAACAGUAAUAAUGUGGUCUGCGGAUUUGUACAUGAGUUACAAGGCAAGUAGGAGCGUUACUCUACUUACCUCUUCUCCUCUUGUGUUCAAGGAGUAACACAGCAGGCUCACAGCCUAGAAAUAAGAAGAGACCUUGGGAUUUGGAGUGGAGAAUUCAAGCAGAGAAAGAGAUGAGACUUUCUGGGCAAGGCAACAUUAAACAUUAAUAAAGACUAUACUAAUAUUUUGAAGCUUGGUAGCUCUCCAGACUCAGUUAGGGGUACUUUAUGAACAUACAGAUUUUGCCCUGGAAAUUUUUAUAAUCAGAAUUUCUAAAGGAGGAGACUUAGGAAUAAGGCCUCCAAGAAGAUUCAGAUGCUCUGCUGGCUUUGAGAAGAUCUGGGUAACCUGAUUGUCAAAUGAGGAUGGCUCCUAAAGAUCCCGAAGCCUGUCAUGGACAGUCAUCACUCACCAAGAUUUUCUGGGACAGUGACUUCUACUCCAUGCUCAUCCAUGAAAUGAACAUCACGUCAUCCCACCCUGAGUCCAAACUGAGCUGAACCUGAAGCCAGUCCCUUAUUUCACCUGCUCUCCAGUGGAGGUGAUGGAUUAUGAUGGGUAUAUGGCAUUGUGGGCCAAUGAAACCGAACCUGAGGAUUUAUAGAGAUGUUGCCAUUCAACAGAGAAUGUCAGAAAUUAGCAAGGAACCCUGCCAAAUAUGCAAGUCAUCAAAACAAACCAAAUAUUACCUCCAGGAAUUUUUCUGUGAAUCAUCAAUGGAUUCAAGACUUGGUUGAAUUCUCCUCUUCUGGACUCCAAUAAUACCUUGUCAGUUUAGUCCUUUAAAGCUUUAGUCUUUUUUCAAAAUUUCAGUUAGUAUUAUAUUCCAGAGAUAGCAGCCAAUGAGUGUAUAUUUCUGAAUUAAAGCAUUCAAUACUGUUGAGUCUAAGAAAUUGUCCCUCCUUAUAGAAAAAGAUCCCAAACAUGAUUUUUAUGUAUCAAAAAUCUGCUUUAUUUUCAAGUUUAUAGAGAAAAAAUAUAUAAUGCUUUUCUAAAUAAACAGAGAAGCUUUGUAAGACAGGAAUAUGUUUAGGCCUGGUAGGGCCAGGGCCAAGAGUUACCCUGUCUGAGUGGAGACACUGGGGUGGAGACCAAGGAGGUGAUCAAUGUGGACAGGAAACAGGUUACAUAGAGAAGGCUCAAGCACAUAAGUACAGUAAGUAUACUGAAAGCAAUGAAAGCCAAAUUUCUCUCUGUUACAGAAAGGACCAACCAAUAUGGAAAGAAAUAAUACUAAAAACAUUCAUGUAUGAGCUCAUGGAUUUUGAGAUUUUGAGAGCAAUACAUAUUGAAACAAAUAUAAAAUCAUGUAGAGAGAGAGAGGCUGAGGAGUAGAAGCAAUGAUAGCCCAGUGACAGGGAGCACUUCUAGCACCAAUAUCUUGAUUUCUAAAUAUCAUCCUUUACUAAAAAGAAACAGAGCUCCUUAGAGGGAUAGGUGAUUUCAAGGCUGGAUCAGGAAAAGCACAAGAUCACAAUACUUUGUUCACUGAAAAAUUUAAAAGCCCACAAAGAAUUAAAUGGACAAACCAAAAGGACAGAAGAGCUAUUUUUCAGGAAUUCUUAUUAGCUACACAUUUAGGAAAUCUUGGGCACUGAAAAAGGAAAUGACAGACAUGAAUGAAUGAAUGAAUGAAUGAAUUAAUUAAUACAAAAGAAAAUCUAUCAUUAAGAAAUCUAAAAGGUAUAAUAAAAUUAGAAAAAUCACCAUUUGGAAACAACAACAACAAUAAUAAUUGAUGAAGGCAAAAAUCAUCAAUGGAUUCUAAACUAGAGGAUAAAAUUUGAUGAGGAAUAAGUUAUUAACAUAGUCUCAUGAGAUAUUUAGUAAAUAUUAUAACUUACAACAGUUUUCUAAAUAUAAUAUAUCUAAAACAUAAUUUUAAAGUGGAAAAAUCUGGUAAAUGCUAAGGUGAAAAAGUUAAAUUUAUUUUUAAUGAGACAGUUGACAAAAUGUGUCCUCUGUCAUUUUUAAAAAUUUAUUUCUGUGGUAUUCUUGCUAAAAAUGGUUGAUACAACUCUGGUCAUGAAGAAACAUUAGGUAAACAUAGAAAAGGUAUCAUUCUACAAAAUAACUGUCAUAUACUCCUCAAAAAUAUUAAAGUCACAAAAGAGAAAAAAUAGAUGCUUUUCACACCGAGGAAGACCAGAGAAAUGUGGCCAACAAGUACACUGCCAAUUCUGGACUUAAUCCUGGGCUUAGAAAGGAUAUUAGAGGGACUAUUUGUUUGGAAUCUCUGUCAUAAAUAAUACUAUGGUAUUAAUAUUAAUUUCCUGAUUCUACUUGUUUUGCUAUACAUAUGUAAGAAAGUUUCUUUCAAAAAUAUAAAAUAAUUAAGAAGUAUCUUAUCUAUAAAUACUUUGAAAUUAUUCAGAAAUAUAUAUACUGAGAGAUAAAGAGAGUGAUAAAUGAGAAUGAGAAUUUAAAAUGUUAUAAUUGGGGAAUCUGGGUGAAAAUAUAUAUGGAAUUUCUUCAUAUAUUCUCCCAACUUUGCUGUAGGUUUGAAAUCACUUCAAAAUAAAGGUUUAAAAAAAUGA